AAACUUUAAUUAUUUUUACUUUUAGUUUUCUUAUCCUUAUUUUUGUUUACAACAACCUUGGAUCGUCGGCGCGGGCCUUAUGGGAACUGCGCGGUCAGAGCAACAACCGGAUGAGCAUUUCGUUCCAGGUGGAAAUUAUAUCAAGUUUGGGAAUUGAAGAGAGUUACGGCACACUGUGAACAUCGUUGCAAACAAUCGAUGCUUGUUUUAACAUUUCCCUGCAUGUUUACUCUUGCCGGUGCAUGUGUCAGUUUUCUUUUUAAAUAUUCUUUAUCAUAUCUACGUCUAUUCCCACGUGGUUUGUGGCGAUAGACUUAAAUAAGCACUGUAUUUGGAUAGUUACUAAAAGCUAUUUUUGUCCUGACGAUCCUUCCCAGCUACACCGUGCAAGAAAAGUCCUAUCAAACAUCACGUUUAAAGCCGUAUGCAUCCUGUUGUUGGCAUCCUUGCUGCUGAUAUCUGCAUCUAUUAUUUAAGUAUAACUGCAAAAUGCAAAAUCAUCUCCAGCUAUUUUUGCUCAAAAUGUAUCAAACUGUUGUUCAUUUCCGAUUUUUUAAAGUGCUAAACUCUCCGCAUUUCUUCUUAUACCCUUCAUAGGAUUCAGUAUUGCUCAUUUAAAAUCACCAUUAUCUGUGCGCUGCGUGCAUCUAUUUUCAUUAACAGCAUCCGACAACGAAGGCAGCAGCUUCCAGAAUACUCUGUAGAAGUAAUUGAAAGGACUGCUUGAUUUGCUCCUGCUGCAGCCUGGUGUUCAUCGUCGGUGAUCAUCAUUAUUGGCGACGAAGGCAGCACAGGCAAAUUUAUUACAACAGGACCAUUUGCUCGUUCAGUCGUUA